UUUUAAGUAUCAAAUUACAUUUAAAAUCACAAGUGUUUUCAGUUCAGUCUUAGAAUGAUUCAGUUAGUCGUUAAGUGUGUCCCUGGCUUUAGGUUGCAUAUCAGUAUUUAUGAUUUGUUAUACUUCCCAAAUCAGAUCAUUACUAGACUACAUGACUACCUCGGGAUCAAAUUUCAGUAACUAUACAAGCAUGUUUUGUGGAAGCAUGGAUGCAUGAUUUGUUUCAUAUUUUGUUUAACUAAUAGUUAUUUUCACCUGUUAGGUUGUUAGUAACUGAUUGCAAUGACAUAUUGUUCUCUGU